UUAAAAAGCUCGUAGUUGGAUUUCUGUUGAGGUCGGGCGGUGUACACCUCGUGUAUUAUUUGCUUCGGUCUCGGCAUCCUCUUGGGGAACGUGUCAGGACUUUAUUGGACUGUGCGAGAUUCAAGACUUUUACUUUGAGGAAAUUAGAGUGUUCACGGCAGGCAAGCGCUUUGAAUACUACAGCAUGGAAUAACGCGAUAGGACUCCGAGCCUAUUCUGUUGGUCUUCGGGACCGGAGUAAUGAUUAAGAGGGACAGUUGGGGGCAUUCGUAUUCCGAUGUCAGAGGUGAAAUUCUUGGAUUAUCGGAAGACGAACAUCUGCGAAAGCAUUUGCCAAGGAUGUUUUCAUUAAUCAAGAACGAAAGUUGGGGGCUCGAAGAAGAUCAGAUACCUUCCUAGUCUCAACCAUAAACGAUGCCGACUAGGGAUUGGCGGAUGUUUUUUAUGACUCCGUCAGCACCUUACGAGAAAUCAAGUCUUUGGGUUCCGGGGGG
rnacentral:rRNA from 1 species